rnacentral:rRNA from 1 species
CCAAAGGUACGGAAUAGCCUCUGGAAACGGAGAGUAAUACCGUAUGUGCCCUUCGGGGGAAAGAUUUAUCGCCUUUGGAUUAGCCCGCGUCUGAUUAGAUAGUUGGUGGGGUAACGGCCUACCAAGUCGACGAUCAGUAGCUGGUUUGAGAGGAUGAUCAGCAACACUGGGACUGAGACACGGCCCAGACUCCUACGGGAGGCAGCAGUGGGGAAUCUUAGACAAUGGGGGAAACCCUGAUCUAGCCAUGCCGCGUGAGUGACGAAGGCCCUAGGGUCGUAAAGCUCUUUCGCCAGGGAUGAUAAUGACAGUACCUGGUAAAGAAACCCCGGCUAACUCCGUGCCAGCAGCCGCGGUAAUACGGAGGGGGUUAGCGUUGUUCGGAAUUACUGGGCGUAAAGCGCGCGUAGGCGGAUUAGUCAGUCAGAGGUGAAAUCCCAGGGCUCAACCCUGGAACUGCCUUUGAUACUGCUAGUCUUGAGUUCGAGAGAGGUGAGUGGAAUUCCGAGUGUAGAGGUGAAAUUCGUAGAUAUUCGGAGGAACACCAGUGGCGAAGGCGGCUCACUGGCUCGAUACUGACGCUGAGGUGCGAAAGUGUGGGGAGCAAACAGGAUUAGAUACCCUGGUAGUCCACACCGUAAACGAUGAAUGCCAGACGUCGGGGGGCAUGCCCUUCGGUGUCACACCUAACGGAUUAAGCAUUCCGCCUGGGGAGUACGGUCGCAAGAUUAAAACUCAAGGAAUUGACGGGGGCCCGCACAAGCGG